rnacentral:rRNA from 1 species
UACGUAGGUGGCAAGCGUUGUCCGGAAUUAUUGGGCGUAAAGCGCGCGCAGGCGGUUCUUUAAGUCUGAUGUGAAAGCCCACGGCUCAACCGUGGAGGGUCAUUGGAAACUGGGGAACUUGAGUGCAGAAGAGAAAAGCGGAAUUCCACGUGUAGCGGUGAAAUGCGUAGAGAUGUGGAGGAACACCAGUGGCGAAGGCGGCUUUUUGGUCUGUAACUGACGCUGAGGCGCGAAAGCGUGGGGAGCAAACAGG